rnacentral:rRNA from 1 species
AGAGUUUGAUUCUGGCUCAGGAUGAACGCUGGCGGCGUGCUUAACACAUGCAAGUCGAACGGGAAUUACUUUAUUGAAACUUCGGUCGAUUUAAUUUAAUUCUAGUGGCGGACGGGUGAGUAACGCGUGGGUGACCUGCCCCAUACCGGGGGAUAACAGCUGGAAACGGCUGCUAAUACCGCAUAAGCGCACAGAGCUGCAUGGCUCGGUGUGAAAAACUCCGGUGGUAUGGGGAUGGGCCCGCGUCUGAUUAGGCAGUUGGCGGGGUAACGGCCCACCAAACCGACGAUCAGUAGCCGGCCUGAGAGGGCGACCGGCCACAUUGGGACUGAGACACGGCCCAGACUCCUACGGGAGGCAGCAGUGGGGGAUAUUGCACAAUGGGGGAAACCCUGAUGCAGCGACGCCGCGUGGAGGAAGAAGGCUUUCGGAUUGUAAACUCCUGUCGUUAGGGACGAUAAUGACGGUACCUAACAAGAAAGCACCGGCUAACUACGUGCCAGCAGCCGCGGUAAAACGUAGGGUGCAAGCGUUGUCCAGAAUUACUGGGUGUAAAGGGGGCGCAGGCGGACCGGCAAGUUGGAAGUGAAAACUAUGGGCUCAACCCAUAAAUUGCUUUCAAAACUGCUGGCCUUGAGUAGUGCAGAGGUAGGUGGAAUUCCCGGUGUAGCGGUGGAAUGCGUAGAUAUCGGGAGGAACACCAGUGGCGAAGGCGACCUACUGGGCACCAACUGACGCUGAGGCUCGAAAGCAUGGGUAGCAAACAGGAUUAGAUACCCUGGUAGUCCAUGCUGUAAACGAUGAUUACUAGGUGUGGGGGCGAAAGCUUCCGUGCCGGAGUUAACACAAUAAGUAAUCCACCUGGGGAGUACGACCGCAAGGUUGAAACUCAAAGGAAUUGACGGGGGCCCGCACAAGCAGUGGAGUAUGUGGUUUAAUUCGAAGCAACGCGAAGAACCUUACCAGGUCUUGACAUCGUGCGCAUAGGCAAGAGAUUGCUGAAAUCACUCUUUGAGUGACGUAUAGACAGGUGGUGCAUGGUUGUCGUCAGCUCGUGUCGUGAGAUGUUGGGUUAAGUCCCGCAACGAGCGCAACCCUUAUCAUUAGUUACUACGAAAGAGGACUCUAAUGAGACUGCCGUUGAGAAAACGGAGGAAGGUGGGGAUGACGUCAAAUCAUCAUGCCCCUUAUGACCUGGGCUACACACGUACUACAAUGGCUGUCAACAAAGUGAACCAAAUACGCGAGUAAGAGGGAAACACAAAAAACAGUCACAGUUCGGAUAGUAGGCUGCAACUCGCCUACAUGAAGCCGGAAUUGCUAGUAAUCGCGGAUCAGCAUGCCGCGGUGAAU